GGGCUUACACAAGCGGUGGAGCAUGUGGCUUAAUUCGAUGCAACGCGAGGAACCUUACCUGGGCUAAAUCCACAGUGAUGUCUUCUGGAAACAGGAGGUCCCUUAGGGGCACUAUGGAAGGUGCUGCAUGGCUGUCGUCAGCUCGUGCCGUGAGGUGUUGGUUAAGUCCCGCAACGAGCGCAACCCCUGUGGUUAGUUACCAGCACGUAAAGGUGGGGACUCUAGCCAGACUGCCUACGCAAGUAGUGAGGAAGGUGGGGACGACGUCAAGUCAUCAUGGCCCUUACGUCCAGGGCUGCACACGUGCUACAAUGGCCGGUACAGAGAGCAGCCACUACGCGAGUAGGAG
rnacentral:rRNA from 1 species